UUUCCUACGGGGCGCAGCAGUGAGGAAUAUUGGUCAAUGGCCGAGAGGCUGAACCAGCCAAGUCGCGUGAGGGAAGACGGCCCUACGGGUUGUAAACCUCUUUUGUCGGGGAGCAAAGCGAGUCACGUGUGACUCAUUGAGAGUACCCGAAGAAAAAGCAUCGGCUAACUCCGUGCCAGCAGCCGCGGUAAUACGGAGGAUGCGAGCGUUAUCCGGAUUUAUUGGGUUUAAAGGGUGCGCAGGCGGAAGAUCAAGUCAGCGGUAAAAUUGAGAGGCUCAACCUCUUCGAGCCGUUGAAACUGGUU
rnacentral:rRNA from 1 species